rnacentral:rRNA from 1 species
AUGUCGAAGUUUUGGUGGGAUGGAUCAUUAGAUAAGCAAGGAAUGCAUUGGCAAUCAUGGGAGAAGAUGUCAGUUUCAAAGUUGAGAGGAGGAAUGGGAUUCCGUGAUCUGGAGGUGUUUAAUGAUGCAAUGCUAGCAAAACAAGCUUGGCGCUUGUUGGACAACCCGGAAAGCCUAUGUGCGCGCGUCCUAAGGGGGAGGUACUACCCCGAUGGUGAUUUUUUGCAGGCUAGAUGUCCAGCUACUGCGUCGGCCACUUGGAGAGCCAUCAUAUCAGGAAGAGAAGUACUGAAAAAAGGGCUAAUUCGAAGAAUAGGAGAUGGUCGUACGACGGAGGUGUGGCAUGAUAACUAG